CCUACGGGAGGCAGCAGUGGGGAAUUUUGGACAAUGGGGGCAACCCUGAUCCAGCCAUGCCGCGUGAGUGAAGAAGGCCUUCGGGUUGUAAAGCUCUUUCAGACGGAAAGAAAACGCAUCGGUGAAUACCCGAUGUGGAUGACGGUACCGUAAGAAGAAGCACCGGCUAACUACGUGCCAGCAGCCGCGGUAAU
rnacentral:rRNA from 1 species